rnacentral:rRNA from 1 species
GACGGAGGGUGCAAGCGUUAUUCGGAUUGACUGGGCGUAAAGCGCGCGUAGGCGGCUUGCUACGUCUGAUGUGAAAUCCCUGGACUCAAUCCAGGAAGUGCAUUGGAUACUGGUAGGCUGGAGUACAGGAGAGGAGAGCGGAAUUCCCGGUGUAGAGGUGAAAUUCGUAGAUAUCGGGAGGAACAACAGAGGCGAAGGCGGCUCUCUGGACUGUCACUGACGCUGAGGCGCGAAAGCGUGGGGAGCAAACAGG